rnacentral:rRNA from 1 species
AGUGAACGCUGGCGGUAGGCCUAACACAUGCAAGUCGAACGGCAGCACAGGAGAGCUUGCUCUCUGGGUGGCGAGUGGCGGACGGGUGAGGAAUACAUCGGAAUCUACUCUGUCGUGGGGGAUAACGUAGGGAAACUUACGCUAAUACCGCACACGACCUACGGGAGAAAGCAGGGGACCUUCCGGCCUUGCGCGAUUGACUGAGCCGAUGUCGGAUUAGCUCGUUGGCGGGGUAAAGGCCCACCAAGGCGACGAUCCGUAGCUGGUCUGGGAGGAUGAUCAGCCACACUGGAACUGAGACACGGUCCAGAGACCUACGGGAGGCAGCAGUGGGGAAUAUUGGACAAUGGGCGCAAGCCUGAUCCAGCCAUACCGCGUGGGUGAAGAAGGCCUUCGGGUUGUAAAGCCCUUUUGUUGGGAAAGAAAUCCAGCUGGCUAAUACCCGGUUGGGAUGACGGUACCCAAAGAAUAAGCACCGGCUAACUUCGUGCCAGCCGCCGCAGUAA